UACCAGCACCCCGAGUGGUCGGGACGAUUAUUGGGCCUAAAGCAUCCGUAGCCGGUCAUGCAAGUCUUCCGUUAAAUCCAGCCGCUCAACGGUUGGGCUGCGGAGGAUACUACGUGGCUAGGAGGCGGGAGAGGCAAGCGGUACUCAGUGGGUAGGGGUAAAAUCCUUUGAUCCAUUGAAGACCACCAGUGGCGAAGGCGGCUUGCCAGAACGCGCCCGACGGUGAGGGAUGAAAGCUGGGGGAGCAAACCGG
rnacentral:rRNA from 1 species